UACGUAGGGUGCGAGCGUUGUCCGGAAUUAUUGGGCGUAAAGGGCUCGUAGGCGGUCUGUCACGUCGGGGAGUGAAAACUCGGGGCUUAACCCCGAGCCUGCUUCCGAUACGGGCAGACUAGAGGUAUGCAGGGGGAGAACGGAAUUCCUGGUGUAGCGGUGAAAUGCGUUGAUAUCCACAGGAACUCCGGUGGCGAAAGCGGCGUGCUGGACCUCUUCUGACGCUGAGGCGCGAAAGCCAGGGGAGCAAACGGG
rnacentral:rRNA from 1 species